AUCUGGAAUGGAAAAACUCCUAGAAUUCGAAAAGGCAUAUUACAAAAAAAUAAGGAGUUGGGUGGAUUAGCAUUACCAAAUUUCCUGUUUUAUUACUGGUCUGCAAAUAUCCGCAACAUGCUAUUCUGGCAACUUUCUAAUGCUGAACCUCCUGCUUGGUUACGGAUUGAGGAGGCUUCAUGUGGCACUCCCUCACUCACUUCUCUUUUAUGCCUACCCAUGCCAUUUUCACCAUCACAGUAUUCUAAAAAUAUUAUAGUUAAAAAUUGUCUUAAGAUCUGGGUUCAGCUCAGACGUCACUUCAAUUUACAGAUCACACCUCUUCUAUGUCCUGUUCACUCUAACCCUCUUUUUCCUCCCUCGCUUAAUGAUAAGGCUUUUGUAACAUGGGUGAGAUGUGGAAUUGUUUCUAUCAAAGACCUCUACAUUGAUAAUAUUUUUGCGUCAUUUGAACAACUAACUCAAAACAGUGACUAUACCACUACUAUACCACUAUACCCCUACUAUACCACCAUCUACCCUGAUCGAUACCAUCUCUAAUAUAAAUCCCGGUCAAAAUGGAGCCAUCUCUAAAAUAUACAACUCCUUGCUCACGUCUCAUACUUCUACAUCUGAAAAUGUGCGUUUUAUUUGGGCUAGGGAUCUUAACAUAGAC
rnacentral:lncRNA from 1 species